rnacentral:lncRNA from 10 species
CCAACAAGCAUAUGGAAAAAUGCUAAACAUUACUAAUUAUCAGGGAAACCACAAUGUGUACUUCACUCCUACAAGAAUGGCCAUAAUCAAAAAGUCAAAAAUAAUAGAUAUUGGCAGGGGUACAGUGAAAAGGGAACACUUUUACACUGUUGGUGAGACUGUAAACUAGUACAACCAGUAUGGAAAACAGUGUGGAGACUUCUUAAAGAACUAAAAGUAGAUCUACCAUUUGAUCCAGCAAUCCCACU